AACGGGCGUCUCUUUGGACCUUUUUCGCUUCGAAACGUCGUCAGUGGGGAAGGAGAAGGACGAGGGCCAAACGUGGUCAUCAGAAUGCGGUCCAUAUGGGCCUCACUCACGACAAAUUAGCCCAGAAAUGAACAGCGUCGCCUCUCCCUACCGCUCGCAAACCGUCGUCUCAUGGCAACUUCUCGUCCGCCUCCUCACCAUUGCUCGAAGCUUGCUCCGAUUGCUUGGAGAUCUAUUCCAGGACCCGACUACGACAUCAUCGAGACAACCUUCUCCGAGCCGCGACCUCGUUGCUGAAAUCGCCAGCGACGGCGACCACCGGAAUCCGUGGAGUCUCGGUUCGGGUUGCAGGCUUUGAUGCCAAGCCAUGUGAUGGGUGUCACUGCCCAUGUGAGGUACUGCACCAUGGGAUGUACCUUGGAAAUUAUUCACCAGGUGGUCACUCCCGGCCUCUCCCUCCUGUCCUGUGCUUGAGGUGGUGAAAGCAGGCGUUUCCUUGGACCAUACCUCUCCGCAGCAAAGUUUCAGCUGCUCUUGAUGUCGACGGAACGGCCACCUUGCAUUGUCAAGACGACUCCGAUACAUGGAGAAAGAGGACAUGAGAAGAAGAUGGAAAGUGCCAAAAGGAAAUGAGAUUCCUUGCAGCUUUUUCUCUUUACUUGACCUUUCACCUGCUGAUCACGACCGCAUGAAUUCUCCCCGUUCCCCACUUGAUAAAUGAGAGUGAUUGUUGCCUACUAAUUUCUUCUUAGAAGCCACCCGGCUCCCAACUAAGCCUGCUCUCGCCAUCACUUCCCUCACCUCUUAGUCAGGGCUCGGUAUGAGAUAGAGACUUCGAGCCCUCGGCGUUGAUUUCCUUUGCAUUGAGUGGAAUCCAUACUGGUGUGCUCCCUAUCUUACAGAGACGAGACCAUUACUGUUGCUGCUAUCUUCCUCGAGCAAAGUUGUCUGAAGCACUCCCAAGUGUACAGGACUCGGCGCUCUCUUUCCACCUCAAGACGCCACCCAUUCAUUAGACUCUUGUUGCUUUUUCUCUCUCUAGAUCUCACUCAUGGCAAGAUGACAUGGUCCCAUUACAAUGAGAAGACUGAGCCAUGCUCUUUUCCUCGCAACAAGCCUCAUGUUAGCACUUGUUGUUCUCCUCCCUGCUUCCUGCGCGGUUAGGUCGCUGCUGUCCUCUCCUGAGGGAAUGCUGAUGGAGGAGAAGAUCCGGUUGGGCUCGACGCCGCCGAGCUGCCACAAUCGGUGCAACCAAUGCGACCCGUGCACGGCGGUCGAGAUCCCGACUCUUCCGGCCCGGUCCGACCGCGUCAGGGCGACCGACCAUCCGUCCUCUUACAGCAACCACUACUCCGACUACAAGCCCCUGGGAUGGAGGUGCCGCUGCGGCAGCCGCCUCUACAACCCUUAGUCGCGUGCACCGCUCUCCUCCGCCGGUUGCUUCACAUGGACGCCGGCCCUGACAAGAACCAUCGCUCUCCUCCUCACGUUCUCGUUUGCUUCGGCUUUGUCGUUACCGAUAUGGUUCUUGACGCAGGGUAAGCUGAGAUUCUUCUUGGAAGCGGAUAAUGGAUUGAUUGAUACUUGCCGCACCCUUGCAGAUCGUUGACAACACUCUUGUGUUUGGAUGAGCAACGAGAGAGCAAAAGCUGUCAUUUCUUGAACGGAGGAAGGUGGAACCACUACAGAAGUAUGUUGCAUAUAUUUGUUCGACGGGCUAUUGUCACUAGCUUACUAUCAGCAUCAACACUAUUGAGG